rnacentral:rRNA from 1 species
CAGCAGCCACGGUAAUACGAAGGGUGCAGGCGUUAAUCGGAAUUACUGGGCGUAAAGCGUGCGUAGGCGGUGAGUUAAGUCUGCUGUGAAAUCCCCGGGCUCGACCUGGGAAUGGCAGUGGAUACUGGCUCGCUAGAGUGUGUCAGAGGAUGGUGGAAUUCCCGGUGUAGCGGUGAAAUGCGUAGAGAUCGGGAGGAACAUCAGUGGCGAAGGCGGCCAUCUGGGACAACACUGACGCUGAGGCACGAAAGCGUGGGGAGCAAACAGGAUUAGAUACCCUCGUAGUCCCUGUCUCUUAUAC